rnacentral:ncRNA from 1 species
CUUUCAGUUAUAACUUAAACUUACACAUGCAAGUCUCCCACUCCAGUGAAAAUGCCCUUUAUCUUCCAACUAUUAGAAGAAAAGGAGUUGGUAUCAGGCUCAAAUAGCCCAAGACACCUAGUUUAGCCACACCUCCAAAGGACUUCAGCAGUGAUUAACAUUAAACAUUAGCGCAAGCUAAAUUUAGUUAUAAUUAAUAUGGUCGGUUAAUUUCGUGCCAGCCACCGCGGUUAUACGAAAGACUUAAACUGAAAGCCACCGGCGUAAAGCGUGAUUAAGGGUAAAAAUUUUUCUAAAGCUAAACUCUGAUUUAAUUGUUGUAAGUUAUUAUCAGUUGGAAACUCAUUCACGAAAGUAGCUUUAUCACUCCUGACUUCACAGUAGCCAAGACCCAAACUGGGAUUAGAUACCCCACUAUGCUUGGCCCUAAACUUUGAUAAUUACAUUUCUCCCCGCCCGGGUACUACGAGCAAAGCUUAAAACCCAAAGGACUUGGCGGUGCCCUAUUCCACCUAGAGGAGCCUGUUCUUUAAUCGAUAAUCCACGAUUCACCUCACCAUUUCUUGCCUAAACCGCCUAUAUACCGCCGUCGUCAAUUUUCCCUUUGAAGGAAUCAUAGAAAGUGAGAAGGUAUCCACCAAAACGUCAGGUCAAGGUGUAGCGAAUGAAAUGGGAAGAAACGGGCUACAUUUUCUAUUAUAGAACAAACGGAUUAUCAAUAUGAAAUCUGAAUAUGAAGGAGGAUUUAGUAGUAAAAAGAAAUCAGCAAAUUCUUUUUAAAAUGGCCCUGGGACGCGUACACACCGCCCGUCACCCUCUUCGACUCAAACAACCUUUAUUUUAUGACUACAUUUUUUGAACCAAGAAGAGGUAAGUCGUAACAUGGUAAGUAUACCGGAAGGUGUACUUGGA